CGUAUUAGGCAACAACCUUUCCUCCUCGCUGAAAGUGCUUUACAACCCGAAGGCCUUCUUCACACACGCGGCAUGGCUGCAUCAGGGUUUCCCCCAUUGUGCAAUAUUCCCCACUGCUGCCUCCCGUAGGAGUCUGGACCGUGUCUCAGUUCCAGUGUGGCUGAUCAUCCUCUCAGACCAGCUAGGGAUCGUCGCCUUGGUGAGCCAUUACCUCACCAACUAGCUAAUCCCACCUGGGCAUAUCCAAUCGCGCAAGGCCCGAAGGUCCCCUGCUUUCCCCCGUAGGGCGUAUGCGGUAUUAGCAGUCGUUUCCAACUGUUAUCCCCCUCGACUGGGCAAUUUCCCAGGCAUUACUCACCCGUCCGCCGCUCGCCGGCAAAAGUAGCAAGCUACUUUCCCGCUGCCGCUCGACUUGCAUGUGUUAGGCCUGCCGCCAGCG
rnacentral:rRNA from 1 species